rnacentral:rRNA from 1 species
GACGUAGGGUGCGAGCGUUGUCCGGAUUUAUUGGGCGUAAAGAGCUCUUAGGCGGCUCGUCGCGUCGACCGUGAAAACCCGCGGCUUAACUGCGGGCUUGCGGUUGAUACGGGCGGGCUAGAGUUCGGUAGGGGAGACUGGAAUUCCUGGUGUAGCGGUGAAAUGCGCAGAUAUCAGGAGGAACACCGGUGGCGAAGGCGGGUCUCUGGGCCGAUACUGACGCUGAGGUGCGAAAGCGUGGGGAGCAAACAGG